rnacentral:ncRNA from 2 species
UAUAGUCUUUGGGGCAAGGUGCGAAAGCGACGCUUUCAAUUCCUGACCGGCGGUCAUAGUCCGCUAACCUCCUUCGGAGGUUGAACCGAUGCGAUUUCGGUACCGACAGUACAGUCUGGAUGGAAAAAGACGGCA